AAUAAGAUAUAAAGAUAAAAGAAAUUUACUUUAAUAUAUUUUUUUAAUCUUCCUAAUGACAGUAAAAUAACGAUUUAUCAAUCACAUCUGCUCUCUACUCAGUUCUAAUCAAAGUAAAUAUGUAUGCAGAAUAUCUGAAAAAAAAAAGAAAAAGUUUGAUCGAGUGGUUUCAAUUUUCCUUAUUUAAGAUGAACACGAAAGAUGAGGAAGAGAACACGAGAACAUCUAUCUAAAAGAAAAUAAAUCAUUAAAUAUAGAUAAAAAAAA